rnacentral:tRNA from 1 species
GCGCGUGUAGCUCAGAGGAUAGAGCACCAGCCUCCGGAGCUGGGUGUCGCAGGUUCGACUCCUGCCACGCGCACCA